UACGGAGGAUCCAAGCGUUGUCCGGAUUUACUGGGUUUAAAGGGUGCGUAGGUGGACUUUUAAGUCAGUGGUGAAAGCCUGUAGCUUAACUAUAGAAUUGCCAUUGAAACUGAAAGUCUUGAGUACAGUUGAGGUGAGCGGAAUGUAUCAUGUAGCGGUGAAAUGCUUAGAUAUGAUACAGAACACCCGAUUGCGAAAGGCAGCUCACUAAACUGCAA
rnacentral:rRNA from 1 species